rnacentral:tRNA from 1 species
GCGUCCGUAGCUCAAUUGGUUAGAGCACCACCUUGACAUGGUGGGGGUCGGUGGUUCGAGUCCACUCGGACGCACCA